UUCCUUCGCCAUCCCACCUUCGUAGGUCGCCCACUCCCCUUCGUGCGUCGCCCGUCAACCGCGUCCCUCGCCCAAUCCCGAUCCCGAUUCAACCGCGUCGCUCCCCCAAAACCCGCCCCCAAAUCACCGCCGCGCCGAAUCCCGGCCGCGCCCUAGCGCCUCGCCCCUGCCUCAAAUCUUCGCCGCGCCGCCAGCGCCGCGCCUUCGUUGCUCCCUUCGUCGGCCUCCUUCGACGGCGCCUGGACGUCGCCUGCUCCCUCCAUCACUCUCACACCCCGCCGUCGCACACUUGGUGCUCGUCGUCCUGCCGAAUCGGCCGGGCUUUGCUAGGCCUCCCUGCCGUACGACCCCCCCCCCCCCUCUCUGGAUUUGCUGCAGCAUCCCCUACCCUCAUGAAUGAGGGAUUGCUGGACAGAAGCCGCGUGCCUCCGCAUCAUCCACACCUCGAUGACCUGGCCCCCACACGUCGUCCUCCUCGGCGCUGCUUGGCAUGAGAUGCAAGCGACCAUGGCCUUAGGAUUUUUGGGGACGUACUGACGUUCGCCUCCAAUGCUAAUGAAGCAUUCACUGACCACUGCAUACCAGGUGCUUGUGUUUUUGCCAACACCAUUGAUCUUUUAUAUAGGACUAGGUGCAUACCCGUGCGUUGCUACGGGUGCCAAUAUUUUUAGCAUAAUAAGACAUCAUUCAUUACCAUGCAAACUACAGAGAGAGCUAACAUCACCAACAAUAACCAUUGUCAUGAUUUUUGCCAUAUAAUAAAACAUUUUUUUUGCCAAGAAUUAGAAUUACAGUAUGUAGCAGUAGGAAGGAGGAUAUAUCAGGUAGCAGUAUUAAGUAUGAACCUUCAAUGGUUGCUAGCAUACCCAUCUGUUUCUGGAGCCAAACAGGUACUCCGUCAGCGCACGGAGUUGCAGGGGCGUUGAGGACAGCGGUAGCAGUAUGAAGUAUGAGCAAUCCAUUUCCUCACCAAUACUCAACUGCGCCCAAAGCCGAUGUCAUUGUAGUUGUCGGUGAUUGCAUUGCCUACCUGGAGACUUGCUGUUCUUGGAACUGCAAAAUGAGGUUCAUCAUUUUACAGGAAACUGGAGCAGUGACCACAACAAUGCCUUGAAGAAAAAGGGACGUUGUCAUGAAGGAAAGCCAAUACCAGUCCAGCAACUGGGACAAACUUGGGAUUAGGCCCGACCCUGACAAACUCCACUCCUGUAGAUGACCAAAAAGGAACAGUAUGACAACAAUGGAGAGAAGGAACGGACACUUUAAAUCAGCAUGUUGAAUGUGCGGAUAUAUCUACACACAAGCUUUGGUAUACUUGUUCUCUGCUGCUAUUCUAAAUUAAUUCCAUAUUUCUUCUCUUAUCUAUACAACUAAAAAGAGGCUAAGGGUGACUUUUUCUUCGUCUUUCAUCCCCCGUCCGAGCGGCGCCCCAUGGUCCUUCGUCAUCCGUCCUCGGGGAAAUGAGGAGUGUCUGAUCGUCUCCCGUGCAAUCUGAGCGCUCCCACACCCUCACCCAACCAGCCUCCCACACAGCACGCCGCCUUCCCCAUCGGCUCCGACCGACGCCCUCCCCCUCACAAAGGAAGAUGCUGCUGCUCGGGAGGAAAGGAGCGCAGCCACUUAACUUGCUGGCAAAAUGAUCGGAUCUUUGAAAUUCCAGUAUGUUCUGGUUAAUCUCCCCCCAGUUUUUGUCUUAGAAGAUUUUUGCAAGUCUUGGUUAACUUCCCAAGACCUCAUUUUCUUCAGUUAUCACAGGUUCAUGUUUAUGAAGAAAAAGAACCCAUUUAAAUAUUCUCAAUAUUUCAGAACUUGGUUACAUACAAGGUUAGUUUUAACCAAAUUCAUGUGAAUAAGCUUCUGUGAAUUCUUUCUCCUUAUAGUGCCAAUACGAUUGUUGCAUAUGUGUAUUUUACAUUUUCCCACUGAUACUACGUGGUAUUAGUACUGGUUAUAAGAGAUUUGUCUCGGAAAAUGACAUUAAGGAUGCUACCUAUAUUCAGUGAGUAUGUACUUUUCCGAGUUCAGAGCGCAGGUCCAGAUAAGAUGCAAGGUACUAUUCAAAUUGAUAGGGUACUUUCUUAGUGGACUUUGUUACUAGCUACAUGGCAAAAGAUAAUGUGAUGAUUCUUAUUACCAGGCAGCAGCACUGUUCCGCGUAUUGAGGGAAUUUUUGCAGCUGGGGUACAAUGUUCUCCGCUUUCUGACAGAAUCCCUUUAACUAUCUUUGCCGAGAUUCUGAUGUAGUGCCCAUGAGUGAGCCACAACAAUAUGAUAGCUUAUGGAUUCAACGAUGUAACGUUUGGAGGCGACCUCGACCUCACAGAAGCCAUGAUAUCCUUAAGACCGUUGAAAUUCACACGCUAUGGGUGCCCGAAUUCAGAAAGGCCUGUUGGAGCAAUAUUUUAUUUGAUGAAGAUUAUGUAUGUAUAUGGAGUAGGCUAUAUCCUCAACUGUGCUAUACAUAUCCUGCAUUGAGUGUACAUGUUUAACUCUUCUCUGAAACUUUAUUUGCUUGUAAUAGUUCACUGUGGAGAAUUCACCAAGGGGAAUCUAUUUUGUUUACUGUAUUUUUUAAAUAAAAAGCUAUCACAUUGCACUUUGUA